rnacentral:rRNA from 1 species
CACGUAGGGGGCAAGCGUUUGUCCGGAUUUAUUGGGCGUAAAGAGCGUGUAGGCGGCCAUACAGGUCAGCUGUGAAAACUCGAGGCUCAACCUCGAGACGUCGGUUGAAACCGUAUGGCUAGAGUCCGGAAGAGGAGAGUGGAAUUCCCGGUGUAGCGGUGAAAUGCGCAGAUAUCGGGAAGAACACCCGUGGCGAAGGCGGCUCUCUGGGACGGUACUGACGCUGAGACGCGAAAGCGUGGGGAGCGAACAGG